AGAGUUUGAUCCUGGCUCAGACGAACGCUGGCGGCAUGCCUAACACAUGCAAGUCGAACGAGACCUUCGGGGUCUAGUGGCGCACGGGUGCGUAACGCGUGGGAAUCUGCCCUUGGGUUCGGAAUAACAGCGAGAAAUUGCUGCUAAUACCGGAUGAUGACGUAAGUCCAAAGAUUUAUCGCCCAAGGAUGAGCCCGCGUAGGAUUAGCUAGUUGGUGAGGUAAAAGGCUCACCCAAGUCGACGAUCCUUAGCUGGUCUGAGAGGAUGAUCAGCCACACUGGGACUGAGACACGGCCCAGACUCCUACGGGAGGCAGCAGUGGGGAAUAUUGGACAAUGGGCGAAAGCCUGAUCCAGCAAUGCCGCGUGAGUGAUGAAGGCCUUAGGGUUGUAAAGCUCUUUUACCCGGGAUGAUAAUGACAGUACCGGGAGAAUAAGCUCCGGCUAACUCCGUG
rnacentral:rRNA from 1 species